CCAGCUUCAGGGGAUCUGAAAAAUUUGAAACUCUCUUUUGACAUCCUUGGGUGCCCACCCACUUAGAAGACACAUGCACAGAAAGUCAAACACCAAAUAUUCUCUCUCAGGCUGUGGUUAGGGUAGACUCAUGCUGGUCAAAGUAUUCAGAUAAGUGACAACAGAGUGAACUGCUCAGCUCGGAACAGGACAUCUGCAUCAUUUCCCCAGCCUUUGACCUGUGAAAUCCAGACAGUAGACAAUACUGAGAGUGAAGCCCAGGACGUUUUCUGUCAAGGUGACUCUACUUACUGUAACUCUUCUGAAACAGCUAGACUCAGACUCCUAAUGAAAGAGGAUGGGGGAUGCAACCUCCUCCUUCCUGUAACCAAACCUGGGUGGACACAGACAAAGUAUGUUGUGCAUGAGCUGAAUGCCCAUCCCAUCCUGUCGCCAUUGCCAUUCUGGUAAGGCAUCAGAGAGCAAUCCCAUGUUCAAAAAGAAAGUCAUUUAAUGAAAUAUAAAGAAUCCAGAUACUGCACUAGGAUCAGCUGGAAUGAUGGAUUUGCCACCACCACAGAGCAAGAAAUAGGUAGGCUUCAGCUUUUUAAACAAUGUUUAUGAGCAAAUACAA
rnacentral:sRNA from 1 species